UCAUGCUCCGAGGAAAGCAAGCAAGAAAGGAGCAGAGAGAGCAGGAGCUCCACAGCAGCACAAAGAGAGGAUGGGAAUCUAGGGAGAGGGGACCAGAGCUGGGGAAGGCAACUGGAGCAUAGUGCGGAGACCGGAAACUGCAGAUUUGUUUUAGCGUCAAUGUCCUGACUCAGUCCUGAUUUAAUGCAUGAGGUGAUUAAGAACCUGUAGAUCUACACUUCACAACUUGUGACCUUCAUCUUCACUGCUUCUUCAGACUUGGGUGGACACCCAGAAAGUAUCUGAGGAUGCUGGCACUGUGUUUGAAUAUCGCUGCCUGUUAACAGAGCGUAGAGUGUGCAAAUUCCCUGCAGCUAACGCGAUACUUGACACACAUUGGAUUGCCUCAAUUGCUAGCUUGUCUUUGUGUGCAAGGCCCAUUUCCUCCCCAGGGCCAUCUGUGAUGUGGUUACUGCUGUUCUCCUCAUUUUCCUUUAAGGAUGCUGAGGCCCUGAAAGGUAAAACAGUUUCCCACAAUCCUGCCUUGCAGCCACUGAGCAUUAAGACAAGAUUCAGUCCCAAGCAUUAGAAUCCCAGACUUUGAGCUAUAGAGGAUGAAUCUGGUUUUUCCAGAGGUGUCUUGCCUGUGAGAUGGGUGGUUUCCAGUUUGUGAUGACUCAGCCCUGUGCAGGCAACCAAUGGGCUUUCUGUCUUAUAAAUCAAGGUACUGUGCCCCAAAUAAUAAGGGUACUAACACACAGCUCUGAGACAAAAUCUAAUCUCUUGGCAAGACCUCAACACCAGCCUUUCUGAAGAAGCUGGCCACACCUAACCCUGGUGACUGUUGGUCCCCCAGAUCUGAAUUUAAGCUGUCUGUGCAGGCUGCCUGCCUAGUCAUUGCCCAGGAGCUGUUUGUGGCCUUGGCUGAGAAAAGGAUUUUUUUUCUCCCUCAUCACCUUCCAUCUGGGGACAUCCCAACUCCAGCUUAGUCCCUGGUGGCCUUGCCCAACUUUGGUUCUUGUUCUUUCUAUGCCUGACCACCCUGGAUCAAAGUCCUGUGUGGAUGUCAGCAUGUAUCCCUCCUACUGGUAUAGCGUGCUCACAGAAUUCUGAAACCAUGGUUUCUGUCUAAGGUUGCAGAAGGAUUGAAAUAGCAUCUCCAUAGGAAUCACUCUCCAUUUAAAUUCAAAUCCAUUUAUGGAGCUCAUACCCGCCUCUGCUGGAUUUCAUUUUCCCCAAAGGUUUGGAACAACAAAAUUUACUCAAAAUGUGAAUUUUUAUUCCUCUUCAAAUCUAUAGGGUGCCCCAUUACCAAUAAAACAGUCCACCAUGUCUUGAUACAUAUCAUUUUAAACAUCAGGGCACUCUUGAUACCCCCAAGAACUAAAAAUGAAACUUCCUGUGUGGAGGAGUUGUGGAAUGUGAAGAUAGCUGAGCAGUUUGGACAGAUAGUGACAUCUAUAGACAAUGUUGUUGAAUAAUUCUUGGGGAAAGUUAUGUAAUUCUGCUAUCUUCACUUGAGCAAGUUGCAAGCCUCAAGCUGCAGAGCAAAACUUUUAGUUGCCAUUGAUGUUUCUUUCAGUACAAUGAAUGCACAGUUAGAGUUCAUUUGGAGAGAGAGAAAUGUACACACCUAUGGGCCUUCACUGGGCCAUGAGAUUCAUAAGGAAGGACACAAGCUGAGGAGUGUGCUUAGUGCUUUAUAUGGAGUGUUUUGGCUGUAUGGUUAAUUGGUGUGCAAAGCCUCUGUGUUUUCUCUUUGAAAAACUAAUCUGUGUAAGGUUACUAGAAGACAUUGUUUUCUCAGCAAUACAUUUCUUUUGAUUUUAAAUGGAAUAUUGAAAUAAGACGUUUUCCUCCUCUUAAGAGUUUAUUUGAAGGGGAGGAUUGAAGGGAGGAUUUAUGAACAUAGAUGAACUAUUUGGACAAGUGCCUCAGGCUUCUUAAAACUGUGAUCUCUUGUUCAUGCCAUGGGUUUCAGCCCACUAAAGGGACAAAAUCUUUGUCAAUGUGUUCUGGAAGCUUUCAGAGAGAUCUGUGUUUUACUAAUUGACUGCAAGCAAAUAAGCUAAACUACCACACAUAAUGCUGCAAAAACAGAAAGCAAAACACAAACAAGCAAAAAAAGGAAAAGUGCGACAAGCAUCGUCUCCCACGCUGCAGUAGUUUCAUCAUUUUCCUUUGCAUCUUUGUUAGCUACCCCAAGGAGAUACACAGAGAUGAACCCAAAGGCCAUACAGUGGCCUGAAAUGUUACAUGUCACCCAGCCUUGUCACAUCCCUGACCUCUUCAUCAAUAGCCUGCUCAGUCCACUGUGAGAAGACCCCUGGGACUUCCCACUUCUUCCUUGCCCUCAUGCUGAGAAUGCUCACAGGGACUCAGACGCUCCACUGCCCUCAGUGCUCAAGUCUUCAGGAAUUCAUCUUUCUCACAAUUACUCCUGGCUCACUCCAGCACUGCUUUCUGCUGUCCUCCCUCUGCCUCUGACUCUGUGGCAGAUGUCUCUGCUCAGCCUCUGUCUUAGUUAUUUUUUACUCAUCGCAGAGACAAAAACACCUGAUGCUCAAAGUUAGGGAAGGAAAGGUUUAUUUCUUACAGUUCUUCAGGUUUCAGUCCAUACUCAGUUGGCUCCAAGGCAGCAUGGCAUGGUGGGGCAGCCAUUCAUGGCUGCUGCAAACAGCAAGGCACAAGUCAGCAAGAGAGAGAGACAUGGCUUCUUCCUGCUGAAACAUCAUAUGCUGGCUCCACCCCUAGGUAGGUGUAGCACUCACAUCACCAAUCUGAGUGCUAGGCAAUGAACCAAUCACAAACACUAGAUUUGUUCAAGUCCAUAAUUGCAUGAGGCUUGGGGGCCACUGACAUAGACCAUGAUCGCCUCCAUAAAGAAGCAAGCUUCCCAGGCAUGCCAAUGCUCUGUGUGAGAAAAAUGGAAUAAGUAUUUGUCCUAGGGAUUUUUUAUGUCAUUCAAAAAAAAGAAAUUGUCCCUAGCAUACUUCUAUUUAAAUCAUACAGGCAAAAAAUCUAUCAUUUGGCUAUGCUCAGUGGAAAUAGAAGCCUAGAUGUUGUUUAGUUUGUAAGGAACAUGUUUUAUGAGAAAGAAUUUGGAAUUGCAUUUGGAGUAUGCUUGUCUUUAGCAUCAUUACUAGACCAGAUGAACCAAUGUAUGUAAGAGACCUGUUUAUAAUAUACUCAGUGAACAAAUGAUAAUAUAAUGCUGUUGUGGAAAGCUCUCUAAUUUAUCUACAUCUUCUCUUUGAAGACCAUAAUUUUCUAUUUCCAUGUAAAGUGCCAUAGUAGCAUCUUAUAUUAUUGUACUGAGUACUGACCAUGGAAUUGUAUGACUUUAAUCUGUAAUCUUAGUUUUCACUGUUUUUAUAUAUCAAUAAACUCUGGGUGUAGGAAAGCUCA